rnacentral:rRNA from 1 species
GAUGAACGCUGGCGGCGUGCCUAAUACAUGCAAGUCGAGCGAACGGACGAGAAGCUUGCUUCUCUGAUGUUAGCGGCGGACGGGUGAGUAACACGUGGAUAACCUACCUAUAAGACUGGGAUAACUUCGGGAAACCGGAGCUAAUACCGGAUGAUAUUUUGAACCGCAUGGUUCAAAAGUGAAAGACGGUCUUGCUGUCACUUAUAGAUGGAUCCGCGCUGCAUUAGCUAGUUGGUAAGGUAACGGCUUACCAAGGCAACGAUGCAUAGCCGACCUGAGAGGGUGAUCGGCCACCCCGGAACUGAGACACGGUCCAGACUCCUACGGGAGGCAGCAGUAGGGAAUCUUCCGCAAUGGGCGAAAGCCUGACGGAGCAACGCCGCGUGAGUGAUGAAGGUCUUCGGAUCGUAAAACUCUGUUAUUAGGGAAGAACAUAUGUGUAAGUAACUGUGCACAUCUUGACGGUACCUAAUCAGAAAGCCACGGCUAACUACGUG